rnacentral:rRNA from 1 species
CGGGCAGCCUAACACAUGCAAGUCGAGCGGAUGAAGGGAGCUUGCUCCUGGAUUCAGCGGCGGACGGGUGAGUAAUGCCUAGGAAUCUGCCUGGUAGUGGGGGAUAACGUCCGGAAACGGGCGCUAAUACCGCAUACGUCCUGAGGGAGAAAGUGGGGGAUCUUCGGACCUCACGCUAUCAGAUGAGCCUAGGUCGGAUUAGCUAGUUGGUGGGGUAAAGGCCUACCAAGGCGACGAUCCGUAACUGGUCUGAGAGGAUGAUCAGUCACACUGGAACUGAGACACGGUCCAGACUCCUACGGGAGGCAGCAGUGGGGAAUAUUGGACAAUGGGCGAAAGCCUGAUCCAGCCAUGCCGCGUGUGUGAAGAAGGUCUUCGGAUUGUAAAGCACUUUAAGUUGGGAGGAAGGGCAGUAAGUUAAUACCUUGCUGUUUUGACGUUACCAACAGAAUAAGCACCGGCUAACUUCGUGCCAGCAGCCGCGGUAAUACGAAGGGUGCAAGCGUUAAUCGGAAUUACUGGGCGUAAAGCGCGCGUAGGUGGUUCAGCAAGUUGGAUGUGAAAUCCCCGGGCUCAACCUGGGAACUGCAUCCAAAACUACUGAGCUAGAGUACGGUAGAGGGUGGUGGAAUUUCCUGUGUAGCGGUGAAUGCGUAGAUAAUAGGAGACACCAGUGGCGAGGCGACCACUGACUGAUACUGACACUGAGUGCGAAGCGUGGGGAGCAACCAGGAAUUAAAAUA